rnacentral:rRNA from 1 species
CACGGGGGGAGCAAGCGUUGUUCGGAAUCACUGGGCGUAAAGGGCGUGUAGGCGGUCAAGUAAGUGGAAUGUGAAACGCCUCGGCUUACCCGAGGACCUGCAUCCCAAACUGCUUGGCUUGAGUAUGGGAGAGGAUGAGGGAAUUCCUGGUGUAGCGGUGAAAUGCGUAGAUAUCAGGAGGAACACCUGCGGUGAAGACGGCUUACUGGACCAUAACUGACGCUGAGGCACGAAAGCGUGGGUAGCAAACAGG